rnacentral:rRNA from 1 species
CAAUACCGCUGACGACCGGCGCGCGGGUGAGUAACACGUAUCCAACCUUCCCAUAACUCGGGGAUAGCCUUUCGAAAGAAAGAUUAAUACCCGAUAGUACUUUAUUAAGGCAUCUUAAGAAAGUUAAAGAUUUAUUGGUUAUGGAUGGGGAUGCGUUCCAUUAGAUAGUUGGUGAGGUAACGGCUCACCAAGUCUUCGAUGGAUAGGGGUUCUGAGAGGAAGGUCCCCCACAUUGGUACUGAGACACGGACCAA